UGGUCACAGGAUUUUGUCUCAUUUCCUUGAGCCAGAUGUGAUUCGCCUCCUGUGGAGCGAGCCUACCGUCCAAUCAGCAACCCAUAGCCACUACCACACUAGCUGGCGCCUCUGGCUGGCACUUCCGCAGCGAGGAAUGUGGGACCCACAACUGGGUGCUUUAGGUCUUAAUUCUCCCCCCCCGCCCCCCCCCCCCCCGGCACAGUUUGCGGCCACUUCUGGCACCAUAGGAGGAAGUUAGCUGGCUGGGAGGAGACACUUUGAGGCCAUUCUAGAUUUACUUCUCCAAGUCUCUCAGCCGAGCUCCCAACAUCAACAACAGGGUCUCACCAUCAGCUCCGAAUGCAACCAGACACUGGCCAUGGCCUUUGUGACCCACUGGCCUUCAGGGUUCUGUAGCCAACAACCCCUGGGGGAUAACCCACUCCUGAGAUUCCCAAGUAACCCCUGUAUGACCUCUGGGAGCACCCGUGUUACCUUCCGUGGGCUCUCACAGUUACAGGUGCAGGCUAUUGCAACUUCGAAUCUCCCGAGUUCCACAUCAACACUGGGCUUUGCAGACUCAGAGAACUGCCUCCCGGACCCCGGCUUGCUUCCUCAGGGCAGACCCCACCCCACCCAUCAGGCAGAGACCACUCCACACCACCUGGAAGAAGACUACCCAGGCCUGGCCACGAUUUCCAUAAAUCCUGUAGGGGCAAAUCACCAUGGCAAAAAACGUCCUGUGCAAACACCGCAUCCACCUGCUGCCUCCCCCUCCCCCAACCUCCCUCAACCUCAUCGCUCUCAUUCCCCACAUCAGGUAAGACACCAUUGCCCCUUCCCAAAUUUGUCCUCAAAUUUUUCCUACCCUA
rnacentral:lncRNA from 1 species